AUUGAACGCUGGCGGCAGGCCUUACACAUGCAAGUCGAACGGCAGCGCGGACUUCGGUCCGGCGGCGAGUGGCGAACGGGUGAGUAAUACAUAGGAACGUACCCUGUUGUGGGGGAUAACUAGCCGAAAGAUUAGCUAAUACCGCAUACGACCUGAGGGUGAAAGUGGGGGACCGCAAGACCUUACGCAGCAAGAUCGGCCGAAGUCGGAUUAGCUAGUUGGUGGGGUAAAGGCCCACCAAGGCGACGAUCAGUAGCUGGUCUGAGAGGACGAUCAGCCACACUGGGACUGAGACACGGCCCAGACUCCUACGGGAGGCAGCAGUGGGGAAUUUUGGACAAUGGGGGCAACCCUGUUCCAGCAAUGCCGGGUGUGUGAAGAAGGCCUUUGGGUUGUAAAGCACUUUUGUCCGGAAAGAAAUCGCGCUGGUUAAUACCUGGCGUGGAUGACGGUACCGGAAGAAUAAGCACCGGCUAACUACGUGCCAGCAGCUGCAGUAA
rnacentral:rRNA from 1 species